ACGAACGCUGGCGGCGUGCCUAAUACAUGCAAGUAGAACGCACAGUUUAUACCGUAGCUUGCUACACCGUAGACUGUGAGUUGCGAACGGGUGAGUAACGCGUAGGUAACCUGCCUGGUAGCGGGGGAUAACUAUUGGAAACGAUAGCUAAUACCGCAUAAUAUUAAUUAUUGCAUGAUAAUUAAUUGAAAGGUGCAAUUGCACCACUACCAGAUGGACCUGCGUUGUAUUAGCUAGUAGGUGAGGUAACGGCUCACCUAGGCGACGAUACAUAGCCGACCUGAGAGGGUGAUCGGCCACACUGGGACUGAGACACGGCCCAGACUCCUACGGGAGGCAGCAGUAGGGAAUCUUCGGCAAUGGACGAAAGUCUGACCGAGCAACGCCGCGUGAGUGAAGAAGGUUUUCGGAUCGUAAAGCUCUGUUGUAAGAGAAGAACGGGUGUGAGAGUGGAAAGUUCACACUGUGACGGUAUCUUACCAGAAAGGGACGGCUAACUACGUG
rnacentral:rRNA from 1 species